rnacentral:rRNA from 1 species
CCUACGGGAGGCAGCAGUGAGGAAUAUUGGCCAAUGGCCGAGAGGCUGAACCAGCCAAGUCGCGUGAGGGAAGACGGCCCUACGGGUUGUAAACCUCUUUUGUCGGGGAGCAAAGAGAGUCACGUGUGACUCAUUGAGAGUACCCGAAGAAAAAGCAUCGGCUAACUCCGUGCCAGCAGCCGCGGUAAUACGGAGGAUGCGAGCGUUAUCCGGAUUUAUUGGGUUUAAAGGGAGCGCAGGCGGAGGUGCAAGUCAGCGGUCAAAUUGCGGGGCUCAGCCCCGAACUGCCGUUGAAACUGCAUCCC